GCAGCGGUCGCUUAGCCUGGUAGAGCGCUGGCCUGGAAACUGGAGAUAUCCAGAAAGCCAGUGUGGGUAAUCCAUGCGGGGGUUCGAAUCCCUCUCGCUGCG
rnacentral:tRNA from 1 species